rnacentral:lncRNA from 1 species
UUAGUAUCACAAGAAAACUGACCACACAGGCCUGAGGCUGCUGCUGCCUGAGCACUGCUGAAACACCACUGACCUUGCUACACCUGCCACAGUUGCUGAGUGUCUUCCCACAACCAGGUAGUGGUGAGGAAAGAUAAGGAAAGUAAAGUCAUGGGGACCUGUGUACACACAAACAGCAUUUUUUUUUCCAUAUCAGAAAUGGCCUUUCUGUAAAAUUGGAGCAAACCACGCAAAAAAGCUGGCUUCUCCCUGGGGAUUUGUCUCAUACAGUCCGAACAUUCAAAAUGCAUUACUUUGGGGCUGAGUUAGCCCCUGAGAUACCACAGGCUGGAAACGCAAAGCAGAAAAGCAGAAUGAAAAAGGAAGGUGUUCCAAUGAGAUGCUUGCUUUUCCAAAACUUCACUGUUCUUUAGCACCACUGUUUCCUUACACACAGAAGCCAGUUGCACACUUUUUAGUCACCCUCCACCUUUCACCUGUUAGUGUGAGGCACAUUUGAUUUCUUAAGCAUCACAAUCAAAGGAUUUUUGGAAGUCUUCAUUCUAAACCACCAGGAUGAAUUGCCUUGAGAAACCAGCCCUGCCAGAAGCACGCAGUGACACUUUAUCAGUGUCACAGCCACCUGGGGCCCUGGCUACUACCGCCCCACCUCUCAGCCCAUAGCAUCCUAAACUGCUUACGGAAAAGGUUAUCUUUUCCUGUAGCAAGGGCCAGGAAUUAACCGAUAACAGUUCCUGACAAGCACUAAACUCAUUUCAGGAAUGUAAUUUGGACUUUUUUUUUCCAACCUGGUAUUUUCAGGGAGAUAUCAAAGCACACGGUCGUAAAGGCUUGCCUUUAAAUAGCCAGGGCUUUCUCUUGGUGAAGUACUCCAACUUUUGCUCCACACACCUGUGCUUAGCGUGACAUUUAGGUAAUAAUGCUGAAGAAGAUGGCAAUCUAUUCAGCAGUGCUGGCUCUGAUUCUGGUCAACCUGCUAAAGGUACAAGGCACACCUGUUACCCCUGUGCUUGAGGAAACGAGUGUGGAGCAAAGCAAUGAUCUCAACAUGCAAUCAAGCAGUGAGUUCCCUGUGGAAUACAGCAGAGACCCAUACAAAGAGGAAGGCAUGGAGCAAUCUGGGAACACUGGAGUACAGGAAGUGGAACAGGCCACUUGGGAGAUAAGUGGAGAGCCAAGUACUGAAACCACCCCUAACUCAAGUGCAGAGUCAAACGAAAAACCAACUCAGAAGCCAACCACUGAACUAUCUGGUAAGACCUAUUUUGUUUCUGACUGUCCUCAUGUUAUUCUUAGCUCACUUUUUUUUUGUUACUUCAAUACUUUUAUCUUUUCUGCACUAAAAGAAAAGAACACAAACAAACAAACAAACAUAAAACAACAGUGCUUUGCCUUGUAGUCUAUUUCUGGCAGGGUCUCUGGCAUGCCAGUGAUCUAGCAGCUUCUGCUCUUUUUAUUCCAAACCAUUAAUAAAUUGCUAGUAAUGGAAGAGGAAAGAGAAUUC